UACGUAGGGUCCGAGCGUUGUCCGGAAUUCCUGGGCGUAAAGCGCGCGCAGGCGGCCCGCGAGGUGUCACGUGAAAGCCCCGGGCUCAACCCGGGAGGGUCGUGGCAAACCGGCGGGCUUGAGGCCGGUAGAGGUGGGUGGAACUCCUGGUGGAGUGGUGAAAUGCGUAGAGAUCAGGAAGAACACCCGUGGCGAAGGCGGCCCACUGGGCCGGUACUGACGCUGAGGCGCGAAGGCGUGGGGAGCAAACAGG
rnacentral:rRNA from 1 species